ACCUCGGAUCAGGUAGGGAUACCCGCUGAACUUAAGCAUAUCAAUAAGCGGAGGAAUGA
rnacentral:rRNA from 1 species